CCCUUGGGACUGAGACACGGCCCAGACUCCUACGGGGGAGGCAGCAGUGGGGAAUAUUUGCACAAUGGGCGAAAGCUGAUGCAGCAACGCCGCGUGAGGGAUGACGGCCUUCGGGUUGUAAACCUUUCUUUUAGUAGGGAAGAAGCGAAAGUGACGGUACCUGCAGAAUAAAAAGCACCGGCUAAUACGUGCCAGCAGCCGCGGUAAUACGUAGGGUGCAAGCGUUGUCCGGAAUUAUUGGGCGUAAAGAGCUCGUAGGCGGUUUGUCGCGUCUGCUGUGAAAUCCCGAGGCUCAACUCGGGCUUGCAGUGGGUACGGGCAGACUAGAGUGCGGUAGGGGAGAUUGGAAUUCCUGGUGUAGCGGUGGAAUGCGCAGAUAUCAGGAGGAACCCGAAAUGGCGAAGGCAGAUCUCUGGGGCCGUAACUGACGCUGAGGAGCGAAAGCAUGGGGACGAACAGGAUUAGAUACCCUGGUAGUCCAUGCCGUAAACGUUGGGCGCUAGAUGUAGGGACCUUUCCACGGUUUCUGUGUUUCGUAGCCCUAACGCAUUAAGCGCCCCGCCUGGGGAGUACGGCGCAAGGCUAAAACUCAAAGGAAUUGACGGGGGCCCGCACAAGCGGCGGAGCAUGCGGAUUAAUUCGAUGCAACGCGAAGAACCUUACCAAGGCUUGACAUACACCGGAAACGGCCAGAGAUGGUGCCCCCUUGUGGUCGGUGUACAGGUGGUGCAUGGUUGUCGUCAGCUCGUGUCGUGAGAUGUUGGGUAAGUCCCGCAACGAGCGCAACCCUCGUUCUAUGUUGCCAGCGGGUUAUGCCGGGGACUAUAGGAGACUGCCGGGGUCAACUCGGAGGAAGGUGGGGAUGACGUCAAAUCAUCAUGCCCCCCUUAUGUCUUGGGCUUCACGCAUGCUACAAUGGCCGGUACAAAGGGCUGCGAUACCGUAAGGUGGAGCGAAUCCCAAAAAGCCGUCUCAGUUCGGAUUGAGGUCUGCAACUCGACCUCAUGAGUCGGAGUCGCUAGUAAUCGCAGAUCAGCAACGCUGCGGUGAAUACGUUCCCGGGCCUUGGGGGUU
rnacentral:rRNA from 1 species